CUUGUUAUACAGGAAGAAACACACCUACGUGUAGCUGCUUMACGGUACUGUAAGAAUAAGCACCGGCUAACUCCGUGCCAGCAGYCKMGGGUAAUACGGAGGGUGCAAGCGUUAUCCGGAAUCAUUGGAGUUUAAAGGGUCCGCAGCGGWWCAAUUAAGUCAGAGGUGAAAUCCCAUAGCUUAACUAUGGAACUGCCUUUGAUACUGGAUGACUUGAGUUAUACGGAAGUAGAUAGAAUAAGUAGUGUAGCGKUGAAAUGCAUAGAUAUUACUUAGAAUACCGAUUCCGAAKGCAGUCUACUACGUAUAUACUGACGCUCAUGGACGAAAGCGUGGGAGCGAMUAGGAYUAGAUACMSUGGUAGUCGUACGCGUUGAUGAUGGACAGUAGUGUUGUAUUCUUUAGUGCUAAUGAAAGUGAUAAUGCCC
rnacentral:rRNA from 1 species